CCUACGGGAGGCAGCAGUGGGGAAUAUUGGACAAUGGGCGCAAGCCUGAUCCAGCAAUGCCGCGUGAGUGAUGAAGGCCUUAGGGUCGUAAAGCUCUUUUACCAGGGAUGAUAAUGACAGUACCUGGAGAAUAAGCUCCGGCUAACUCCGUGCCAGCAGCCGCGGUAAUACGGAGGGAGCUAGCGUUGUUCGGAAUUACUGGGCGUAAAGCGUACGUAGGCGGUUAUUCAAGUCAGGGGUGAAAGCCGGGGCUCAACCCCGGAACGGCCUUUGAAACUAGGUAGCUAGAAUCUUGGAGAGGUCAGUGGAAUUCCGAGUGUAGAGGUGAAAUUCGUAGAUAUUCGGAAGAACACCAGUGGCGAAGGCGACUGACUGGACAAGUAUUGACGCUGAGGUACGAAAGCGUGGGGAGCAAACAGGAUUAGAUACCCUGGUAGUCCACGCCGUAAACGAUGAUAACUAGCUGUCCGGGCACUGGUGCCUGGGUGGCGCAGCUACGCAUUAAGUUAUCCGUCCGUGGGUAGGUACGGUCGCGAGAGUAAACUACGAAGAAGUAGACGGCGUGUAGAGUUGCGAGGCGACGACGAGGGAGGUUAGG
rnacentral:rRNA from 1 species